UCACAUGGUCUUGAGAGGCGUCCCUUUCCCCAAUUCAGAUUUUCAUUCCUCAUUUCCCUUCUCUCUCUCGAACUCAGAUUUCUUAUAUUCUCUGACUUCUCUCUAACCUUGCUCCACCUUCUUUGUACCAAUUUCUCAAAUUUCCACCGUUGUUAUUUCAAAUAGGUGGUUCCCCUACGUUCCCGGAGUCGAGAGCUUCCAAUCCAUCUGAUUAGUUUCGCGUCUCUCCACUGAUAAGGUACUAUCGGAAUUACCUCUGUGCGGAAGUACUGUUAGGACGCUUUUAGGAACUGUGCUGUGAGAACCAAAAGAUGGCGUGGAGGAUACCUUGGAAACAACUCUUAAUGGAGAUGGAAAUGCCGCUGCGUAGUUCAUUAGACUUUACUUUUCUUAGUCUUAGAUAUUUUGAAGAACUUUAAUUGUUAUGUUUAAAGUUUUAAAUUCCUAUCCUUUUUAGGAGAACUCUAUUUCUCCAAGUUCCUAAAUUCUUGUANUGCUUAAGGAUGACUGUAAUCCUAAUUGUCUCU